UUGACACUCGUUUGGAAUGGCUCUCGAUAACUCGCUCACUCUAUAAGAUUACGUUGAUUGGAAAAGAGAGAGAGGUGCUCGCUCGGCAUUGAAGCAAACUGCCACAAAGAAGGAAGUUUCUGUCGACGAACCCUCUCAAGGUUUCAUUUUUGGCGGUCACUCGUCGAACACUCACGGCAACUCACUCAACAGAUGCAGUUUUCGAGCCGAAGCACAUUUUGCCAGUGUAUUGGUGAGAGGCAGCCGAACGCGGUGCUCACGUUCUCCUUUGGUUCGUUCUGGUGAGUGACCCGAGCGCGGAGUUGAUUUGCCUUGGCGAUAUGCCACGGAACCACGCGCGCCUAGUGAGUAGAUACUCGAGAACGGAAUAAUGUAAGCAAGUAGCGAACGUGAGCGCACGCGUGCGCGCUUUUUAUUAUCUGAUACAUUAUUAUUCGCCUUCACCGUCGUCAUCGCCGUCGCAGCCGAUUGCUUUAGCCAGCAAUCUUGGGAAAAUUGUUGCCGUGCCGCUCAUCACUAGAGCUCGAGCACGACGCCUUGCCACAGCAUCCUUGACGUCAAAUGCCCACGGGACUGACACUUGUAUCCUACCACCACAGUACAUUCCGUAGUCAACAUUGAAAAUUCCGCACUGACAGCCAUAAGAAUAAUCGCGGGAUGGAAAGAGAUGGGUGCGUUCCAUGGUGACAGUUUCAUAAACGGCAAGCAGAAGAAAAGAGACGACAUGUAUACUACGAAAACAUCAGUCCCGUGCAAAUGCCCGGUUGAGCAGUUGAAAAUACCUGAUUCCAAAUCCUAAGCCCCUUCCAUCGUUAAAUAAAAUGUAAACCUAACCUCGAGUCA